rnacentral:rRNA from 1 species
AAAACAUGUUUUUUUGUUUAUUUAAAAAGUUUGACCUGCCCGGUGAACAUUUAACGGCCGCGGUAAAUUGACCGUGCAAAGGUAGCAUAAUCAUUAGUCUUUUAAUAGGAGUUUGGUAUGAAAGGUUUAACGAAACAUAAACUGUCUUUAAUUUUAUACAUUGAAUUUAGCUUUUAAGUUAAAAGGCUUAAAUUUUAUUGAUGGACGAGAAGACCCUAUAGAUUUUUACAUAAUUGAUUGUUAUUAUUUAAUUGAUCAAAUUUUAAUAUAAUUUUUAGUUUUGUUUAGUUGGGGUGACUAUAAAUAUAUAAUUAACUUUUAUAUUUUACAACCAUUAAUUUAUGAUUAUUGGAUCCAUUAUUAUUGAUUAUUAGAUCAAAUUACCUUAGGGAUAACAGCGUAAUCUUCUUUCAGAGUUCAAAUUUACAAGAAGGGUUGCGACCUCGAUGUUGGAUUAAGAUAAUUAUUAGGUGUAGUAGCUUAAUUAAUAGGUCUGUUCGACCUUUAAAUUCUUACGUG